AGAAAGCCUGCUUUUUAUGGGAUAAAAUAAAUCUAUUCAGGAGAGAUUUUUUCAGAUCUUUUUAAGAUUGGCUUUUUGCCAAAGGGUUUAUGAUCAAUAAAAUGCAGCUCAGUCUAUUGUGAGCACAUAAUCAGGUACUUGCUGGCUUGCUGAAAGAUGGAGCCAAACCAACAAUUCUAGAACUUAGUGUCAGCAGUAAAAAGGAUUUCACUUGAGAAGAUGCUUUGCCCAAUAAGGAGGUACACAAGUCAAGAUGAAGCAAAGCCUUUUGCUGAAGCUUAACAUGGGAUUGACACAGCUUCAAGAGCUGCCAAGAAGUACUUCACUGAUUCAAAAAGGCUUUCUGGCAGAGACCUGUUAUAUUACCUUAUGGUGCCUGAAUGAUGGGCAGCUGAAAGGAUCAAACCAGCAACAGCAGGAAGGAAACAGCAUUCCAAACCCAGGGGUGAAGGCCCCUGCUCGUGCCACCUGCUGCGGGAUGCAUUACCAGAGAGAGGCCAGAUGCAGGGUAGAAGGCCAAGGAUUUUAGCAACAGUCUUAAAUUAUUUCUUCACAUAAAGUAAGGCUUCUAGGAGCACAAGCUGACUUUGGCUUCUUUUCCUCUUUUCAGAGCUGUGUACAGCGCAGUUGCAGGAGUUCACUGCUCAGAGGCAAGGGAAGGGAGAUGCACGGGGCUGAUGUCCCGGCACACAGACACCCCCUGGCAUCAGCAGGAUGGACUAACAAAGCAGAGGGACAGCCCAGAGCCCGCCGGGCCCAGCUGAACCUGCCGAGCUGGCAGAAUGCAACCAGCAGCACUGAGCUCUCACCAGAGAGAUAAAAAAGAGCUGAAGAAGCAAAUCAUCUGAUUUCUGCAUAGAGCUCUCUUCCCCAUUCACUGUUGCAUUUGGAGGGCAAGCAAAGAAAGAAGAGGGAGUGGCACAAAAAUUUUCAGGCAUUUGGUUUAUUCCUCUAACACUGUGUUAUACUGGCAGUAAACCCAGAAACAACAUCCCAGCCUGUGGAGUAGAGCAAGGCCAUGACUGCUCAUCUUUGGGACUGCAAGGCCCCUGCUCGGGCUUUCCUACGGACAGACAGGAUUUGUUCUUUUAACUUUAUUUGGAUGCAAUGGCUGAUUACAGCAAUGUAAAAGUGUCAUAUAUAUUACAUAUUUACACACAUUAUUAUGUGUAUAUUGUUAUAGCAGCCCAAAAUGACCAGCUUUGCUAUAAACUUAUAAAGGGAAUUUUACAAGUAAUUUCCAUGUUCAUUCAGGAGCCACAUAGCAUUACUUGUAAGAUUAUUAAAUGUUCUAUUGUGGAUCAGAAAAUUAUUUCAUUUUAUAAAUGAGUGAAAAGUAAUCAAACAGCUUGAUUCUUCCAAAGGUAAUCAAAAUUGAAAUAAGGUAGCAUUUACAUGUCUUCUCAAAUAAAUCAGCCAGCUGUUCCAAAAUGAAAUGAA